CCUGCAUUGCCUGCAGAUUCUUUACCAUCUGAGCCACCAGGGAAGAGAAAGGGGAGGUAACCAGCAGGUCUGGUUCCUGCUUGUCUCCCAGGAUUCUGCAUGCGGUCUCAGCCUGCAAAGCCUGCCCUGACCUCCCCCUCCCCAGUCUGGCUGGCGUCUCCUGAGACUCCUCAGCUCCACGACACUCUCCCUGGGGAUCGCAACCGCCCUUUGCAGGACCAUGCCACUCAGUCUGACCUCCUGCAGGGAUCCGAAAGGCUGUCCUUGGCCACCACUCUCCCCAGCACCUCCCACACGGCCCAGAACCGGAGCUGCCAGCGGAAGGCGAUGGACGGAAGGAACUUCCAGGAGUCCCCACUGGAGGACAGGCCACCCAACCUCUCAGCGACCCCUGGGUUCCACCCCUUCCCUGUCCACACACACACCCCAGGCCAGAGUCCUUCUGUGGCACAUAUCAAGCCCCCAGGGCCAAAGCUGCCAGCACCCCCUCCCAAAUGAGCAGGCUCACAGGCGUGUCCUGGUGGGGUCUGAGCGAUCCCUAGCAGGUGGGGUCGCCCAGAGCAGCUGGGAACAGCUGGAUGACAGGGGGCGGUCAGGAGCGCAACGUGCCCAGUCAAAAUGGCCCGUCAGCGGAGCUGCAGUCAGCAGGGCCUGGAGACAUCAAACCUGCCAGCUAAAACGCCCCAUGAAUAUUUAACAGCCGUCAAUAUUUAAUUAGUGCAGACAGAUUAACUCGGAAAUCACACACACUUGGGCUGGAGGGAGGGGGAGCGUUGGAAGCAGGGGGUGGGCUCGAGGGAGAGGCCGUGUUUAUUGCAUGGGGUCCGAAAGGCUGCCCACCUUCCCUCCCCGCCGCCCCCAGCCACCUCCCGCCCCGGCAGGAAGCAAGCGCCACUGAGAAAAAUCCUAGGGAAAGGGACGCCGGGAGAAGCCCAGGGGAAAGGCAAGGCUUGGGUAAGGUGGGGUGAGGGCAGUGCUGGGCACCCCCGUGUCAGCAGCCGCCUGGACCCCAGCCCGACUUCCCAGGAGCAGGUGUCAGCGUGUAAUUACCUCUGCGCCGCUGGCUUUCCUAGAUUAUGCUGUUGUUUAUUGCAUCCGCAACGCUACCCUGAGUCUUUUAUCCCCUUUGAGUUUCUUUGAGUUUUAUCAUCUCUUGUGCCACUUUUUUAUUUAAUAGAGUUUCCCUGAACUUCAUCAUCUGGUAAUAAAUUGCUGUCGUUGAUGUCUA